rnacentral:rRNA from 1 species
AACGUAGGUGGCGAGCGUUAUCCGGAUUUACUGGGCGUAAAGCGUGUGCAGGCGGAGCUACAAGUGGUGUAUGAAAUCGCUCGGUUAAACCGGGUGGGGUUAUGCCAGACUGUAGUUCUAGAGUGCGAGAGAGGGCGUGGAAUUCCGGGUGUAGUGGUGAAAUGCGUAGAGAUCCGGAGGAACCCCAGAGGCGAAGGCGGC